GCUAAAAAAGCUUUUUUAAGCGUCAGUCUUGUAAACUGAAGAUGAAAUAUGUGUUUCUUUUAGCU
rnacentral:tRNA from 1 species